rnacentral:lncRNA from 1 species
UAGAGAGCCUCCCCCUCAUUUGUACUCACUCCUGUAAUUGUUUCAUUAUUCUUUGUGAAUAAGAAUUGAGAGCAUUUACUCAAACUUUUCUCUCAGGCGUUCUUGCUUUUGUUCAUCUUUCAAAGAUCGUUCUUAAUUCGUUCUUCCGCUGUUCUUCAUGGAAACUUUAAGGGAAUUCUGUUGAAUCCUUUAUUGUUGCGAGUUGAGCUGACUUAGGCGUUUUUACGGUUGAAUCCAUUAUCGGUGGAAGUUAGGCUGACUUAGGCGUUUUUAAGCCAAGAAACUGCCUAAGGCCGCACGGAUGUGUGGGAAAACUCCAAGUCCGUGACAUAUGCACAUGGUUAUACAUGCACAAACAAAAUCAAAGUUUCAAAUAAAGAUUUAAUAGAUAAUUAAAAUUAUCGUAAAUAUUGAGAUUUGAAUAUUAUUGGAUUAACUUUGAAUUUAAGAUCCUACAAUAUUAUACUUGAUAUUUUUUUUAAUAAUAAAAAACCUCACCGUUCUUGAUCAAGUGAAUGUCAUGGAUUCUCAAAUUAGUCUCUUCCUUAGUUGAGUUUCAAUUCAAUUGUAAAAUUACUAAUAAUUUAUUAUUUUAAUUAUAUUCUUAUUUUUUUUAUAUUUUUAUAUAAAAUCAACAACUUUAUUAUCUUAAUUUUAUCAUUUCAUCUAAAGCUACAUUUAAUUUUUUACGUAUUGCUUUUAUAAAAUUGAUGAGAAAAAAUUUCUAUCUACAUAGUAAGUUGUGUCCAAAUCUAAUUUAUAAUGGUUAAAAUAUGUUUUCUUUUCAUAAAUUUAAAAUUUAGUCAUUGUAUUUUUCAUUUUCAGGAAUUUAGUUUUUUAUUAAAUUCGUUAGUGUGACAUUUUGAAAUUUUUUAAAAAAUAUCAUUUGUCAGUAAUAUAACUCAAAAAUGACUUUGUAAUAACUUGAAUUUAAUAAAAUAAUUUUAACAGUGUUAACAGUUAUACCUAAAUUUUAAAUUAAAUUCUUAAAAAUAAAGUACUAGGACUAAAUUUUAAAUUUACAAAAGAGUACAGAUGUUAUGACAUAUUUUAACCAAUUUAUAAUUAAUUCUGUUUAUGUUGUAAUAAUCAUCUAAUAAGUGUCAAACCAAUUGCAGUGACUAUAAGCGUAGAAGGAACUCCAAAUUUAAGGUGAUUCCAGAAAGACAAUGUGUAGCCAAGAUGUGGUGCUCGACGAGCUUGCUCACAUACUAUCAAGUUCGCCGCCGAUCCCAACAACGACAGGUUUCCGGCUACCGUGCUCACC